UGCUGCAAGCUAUCCCUCGCUGCUAAGCUAUCCCUCGCUGCUAAGCUAUCGCCGCUGCCAACCUAUCUAUUGCUGCAAGCUAUCCCUCGCUGCUAAUCUAUCGCUGCCAACCUAUCUACCGCGGCGAAUCUAUCUAUCACUGCCAAUUUAUCUACCACUGCCAAUCUAUCUAUCGCUGCCAAUCUAUUGCUGCUAAUCUAUCGCUGCUAAUCUAUCGCCGCUGCUAAUCUAUCCCUCGCUGCUAAGCUAUCCCUCACUGCUAAGCUAUCUCUCGCUGCUAAGCUAUCCCUCGCUGCUAAGCUAUCCCUCGCUGCUAAGCUAUCCCUCACUACUAAGCUAUCUAUCACUGCUAAUCUAUUGCUGCUAAUCUAUCACUGCUAAUCUAUCGCUGCUAAUCCCUCGCUGCUAAUCUAUCGCUGCCAACCUAUCUACCGCGGCGAAUCUAUCUAUCACUGCCAAUUUAUCUACCACUGCCAAUCUAUCUAUCGCUGCCAAUCUAUUGCUGCUAAUCUAUCGCUGCUAAUCUAUCGCCGCUGCCAAUCUAUCCCUCGCUGCUAAGCUAUCGCCGCUGCCAACCUAUCUAUUGCUGCAAGCUAUCCCUCGCUGCUAAGCUAUCCCUCGCUGCUAAGCUAUCGCCGCUGCCAACCUAUCUAUUGCUGCAAGCUAUCCCUCACUGCUAAGCUAUCCCUCGCUGCUAAGCUAUCGCCGCUGCCAACCUAUCUAUUGCUGCAAGCUAUCCCUCACUGCUAAGCUAUCCCUCGCUGCUAAGCUAUCGCCGCUGCCAACCUAUCUAUUGCUGCAAGCUAUCCCUCGCUGCUAAUCUAUCGCUGCCAACCUAUCUACCGCGGCGAAUCUAUCUAUCACUGCCAAUUUAUCUACCACUGCCAAUCUAUCUAUCGCUGCCAAUCUAUUGCUGCUAAUCUAUCGCUGCUAAUCUAUCGCCGCUGCUAAUCUAUCCCUCGCUGCUAAGCUAUCCCUCACUGCUAAGCUAUCUCUCGCUGCUAAGCUAUCCCUCGCUGCUAAGCUAUCCCUCACUACUAAGCUAUCUAUCACUGCUAAUCUAUUGCUGCUAAUCUAUCACUGCUAAUCUAUCGCUGCUAAUCUAUCGCUGCUAUUCUAUCGCUGCCAACCUAUCUACCGCGGCGAAUCUAUCUAUCACUAUCAUUACUAGUUCAAAAUAGAACUAGAGCAUAAAUACACUAAACUUCUUUUGAUAGGUAAUGAUUUUUGGUAACACUCAUAGCAUCAUAUCAUCUAUAUAGGGUAAAUCAUGGUCCCAUUUGGUCCCAUUUUACAAAAUGGGAUCAAAUGGGAUCAGAAUCAGUAAUUUAUAAGAAGAACAUGAUCUGAGACUAGAUUUAUAAUAUAAACAGUAUAAAGUGACUAAUUUAAUAAACACUAUAUGAGAUCAGAACUAAGA
rnacentral:sRNA from 1 species